GGUUUAUUACAGAAGGUUGGAAUUCUGUCUACAAUUCCAGGCACCUGCGUGGUCAUCUACAAUAAUGCUUGGUUUUUUAGCUUCUUUUUUGCAGGUUUUCUCUACUGGAUUCUGUCAAAUCUUACAGGAAAACAACAGAAGUUCCAUAAUUGUUCUUUACAAGCAGUUUGCAGUUUUCCUGUGCUUAAAAAAAAUAUAUAUAUUUGGAAAGCAAAAGAACAAGAAGAAAAGAAAUAAUCAUUAGUUUGCAUUAGGCAAGA
rnacentral:misc_RNA from 1 species